UACGUAGGGUGCAAGCGUUGUCCGGAAUUACUGGGCGUAAAGCGCGCGUAGGCGGCUUUGUAAGUUAGAGGUGAAAGCCCGGAGCUCAACUCCGGAAUUGCCUUUAAGACUGCAUCGCUAGAAUCAUGGAGAGGUCAGUGGAAUUCCGAGUGUAGAGGUGAAAUUCGUAGAUAUUCGGAAGAACACCAGUGGCGAAGGCGACUGACUGGACAUGUAUUGACGCUGAGGUGCGAAAGCGUGGGGAGCAAACAGG
rnacentral:rRNA from 1 species